rnacentral:lncRNA from 1 species
CCCGCAAACCUGGAACUUUCGGAUUGCUUCCGAGCUUGAAGUGAGCUGUCAGGACAGAGGCAUGGAUAUUUGAGGCACAGAACUUCUCUGAAAUGUUGUUUGAAGCUGAUGCCAAGUGAAGUGCUUCAGUGAUUAUCAUAGAAAAAGAAGCCUAAGAUGAUACAGUAUUAAUAUCAACUGCAGGCCUACAGUAAUACUGUGGGGGCUUGUAAAUGAAUACAUCAGUGAGUUCAAAGGUGAAAUGCCACUUCUGCUGCUCCAGGUAGAACCAUUAAACAGAAGAAAACACAGAGUGCUCGGAGCUUCACCAGGUGCUGCUUCCUGAUUUCAGCUGACCAGCUGAAGCACCAGUUUGCCCUUAAACUACCCACGUGGUGGGGGAGGGGAGAAGUGGCCCAAACAAUGUAUGCACACGUGAAUAAAUGAAUAAAAAUAAAUAAAUAAAUAAACUACUCA